GUCGGACAUUGGCAUGUUACAUGACGGGUGAGUGUUUUCUGAAUAUUAUUUUGCUGAUAAAAUUUUCAGGGUAAAGACAGCGUACACCAGCUCGCAGUCACACAAACGACUCAAUUUACCACUUUUAGUGUGAAAAUGCCCCUUCUUGGGUCAGAAACGUACAGUCUGUAUUACCUUUGUUAGGCGAUGUGUCGAGAUAGUAUUGAGCACGUUCGGGUCGCGGAUCGGACGAGCUGGUUGUGCCAGCGUUGCUGCUGUCUGAACAUCCAUCGGUCGGGUAAGGGAAGGACCACACCGUUGUUACGAACUUCAAGCGCUUGGGGGGAAUUAAAACGGAUAUAUUUCGCGUCCGAUUGUCGACAUCGGUUUUUAUUAUUACGUCAUCAACUGGUACGUCUCUAUAGGUCGUGUUCCUAAGACGUAAAUGGCGGAAGCACGGAAUGUUGCUAUUUCUUGUGUUUUAACUAAUACACAUACGGCGUAAUAAAUCAAACCACGUGCGAUUAAAACUGUUUCGGGAACGGAUUGAAUAUCACAAAAUGACGAAAUCUUCCUCGUCUAACACUAGACACAAAGAUGGCGGUGUCUACUUCGUCACCUUUUUUCCCCCGACUGUGCGAAGCGACCGUAACGAACUUGAAAAAAGUAGAUUAUAAAGUUUGGAAGUAGUGAAGUCACCUAGAUGUUGUUUUACGUUUAAUUUGUUCAAAAUACGAAUCUACAAAAAACAAUAGCCUCCCUCCUUCCUUGUGGUUAACAAAAUGGCGGAGGAACUGGUUGUUGUUUUCUACAAAAUAGUACUUUUCCUGAGGCGCCGCAAGGCUAGACGUGCAGAAUUCUUCUUCCUGUCUGUCGUUUUCUCGAAUCUUAAAAAAGUCAAUGUUCUUAUUUAAAAGUUAUUUGAAUUUUACUAUAAAUUAUCUCACAAACAGGUUUUCCUCAAAAAUUAUGUUAGUUAAUUUAAAGUUAUAGCAAAGGUAUUGCUGAUAAUACA
rnacentral:lncRNA from 1 species